GUAUGGUGAUGAGAUCCAUGCGUGUCAACUGACUCUCAGACCUCCUGCUGUGGUGGUCAUCUGGUCAACGUUCUGCUGACUGGGUUUUUCCACACAGCAGGAAUUCUGAGGAAUGAUCUUGCAUCCAUGGUUCUGAGUAC